rnacentral:rRNA from 1 species
GUGAGGAAUAUUGGUCAAUGGACGAGAGUCUGAACCAGCCAAGUAGCGUGAAGGAUGACUGCCCUAUGGGUUGUAAACUUCUUUUAUACGGGAAUAAAGUGAGGCACGUGUGCCUUUUUGUAUGUACCGUAUGAAUAAGGAUCGGCUAACUCCGUGCCAGCAGCCGCGGUAAUACGGAGGAUCCGAGCGUUAUCCGGAUUUAGUGGGUUUAAAUGGAGCGUAGGCGGACGCUUAAGUCAGUUGUGAAAGUUUGCGGCUCAACCGUAAAAUUGCAGUUGAUACUGGGUGUCUUGAGUACAGUAGAGGCAGGCGGAAUUCGUGGUGUAGCGGUGAAAUGCUUAGAUAUCACGAAGAACUCCGAUUGCGAAGGCAGCUUGCUGGACUGUAACUGACGCUGAUGCUCGAAAGUGUGGGUAUCAAACAGGAUUAGAAACCCGUGUAGUCC